AUCCUUUUGUAGUUCAUAAGCAUGAUGAGUGGGUGUUCAUAAUUUUGCAUGACAUGUGCCUCCCUCAAACCUUGUUAUGAUGUCAGCACAUUACACGUCGACU